GAUGAACGCUGGCGGCGUGCCUAAUACAUGCGAGUCGAGCGAACGGACGAGAAGCUUGCUUCUCUGAUGUUAGCGGCGGACGGGUGAGUAACACGUGGAUACCCUACCUAUAAGACUGGGAUAACUUCGGGAAACCGGAGCUAAUACCGGAUAAUAUUUUGAACCGCAUGGUUCAAAAGUGAAAGACGGUCUUGCUGUCACUUAUAGAUGGAUCCGCGCUGCAUUAGCUAGUUGGUAAGGUAACGGCUUACCAAGGCAACGAUGCAUAGCCGACCUGAGAGGGUGAUCGGCCACACUGGAACUGAGACACGGUCCAGACUCCUACGGGAGGCAGCAGUAGGGAAUCUUCCGCAAUGGGCGAAAGCCUGACGGAGCAACGCCGCGUGAGUGAUGAAGGUCUUCGGAUCGUAAAACUCUGUUAUUAGGGAAGAACAUAUGUGUAAGUAACUGUGCACAUCUUGACGGUACCUAAUCAGAAAGCCACGGCUAACUACGUG
rnacentral:rRNA from 1 species